rnacentral:rRNA from 1 species
UACCGGCGGCCCGAGUGGUGGCCGCUAUUAUUGGGUCUAAAGCGUCCGUAGCCGGCUUGGCAAGUCCCCUGGGAAAUCUGGCGGCUUAACCGUCAGGCGUCCAGAGGAUACUGCCAGGCUUGGGACCGGGAGAGGUGAGAGGUACCUCAGGGGUAGGGGUGAAAUCUUGUGAUCCCUGAGGGACCACCAGUGGCGAAGGCGUCUCACUAGAACGGGUCCGACGGUCAGGGACGAAAGCUGGGGGCACGAACCGG